rnacentral:tmRNA from 1 species
UUUCGGUUUCGACUUGUAAGCGAAGCUUUUAUGGCAUGCAGAGGACGUCGGUUUGCCUCUUUAAUCAUCCGGCAAAACAAUAAAUGCUAAACAGCAAGAAGUAUUGGGAGACCAAUACGAACAACUAGCGGCAUAAACCUAACAGUUUAUACUGCUCAGUAAUAUAGACCUAGGCUAAGGGGUUUAUACCUACUGUUAUUUUACUUGGUAAGGAUAAAGCCUUUCAUCAUUCCUCUUGAGCUUUAUCCGAGAUAAAAGAGGAUGCGUUAGCUUUGUUCGGGGCAUCUUGCGGCUGAGGUUAACGUAGUUCAAGGUGAUAAGCAUGUAGUCAUACAAGUUGUUUGUUUGAUAAGGACGAGAGUUCGA